AUUAAAGGCUUUGGUUCAUUCAAGGGGGACACACACUUCACCCCCAAUAACUGGGACAUAAAGGUAUAAAUAGGGAAUUCGUUUGCGAGAGUGUAUACUUGAGACACAGUGCCUAUACAAACAGAGCAUCGUACACAGCUACUUAACUGUCGUAGAAGAUGAAGGCCUUCUUACUAGCUGUUAUCCUUUCUGUUACCUUGUGCGCAUGCUCAAAGGGCGCCUACUCUAACACACUGAUCGGAUGUCCCAGUGAGGUUUCUAAGGGCUGCCCUGUGCCUCAAGGCGACUUUCCACUUUACUUCUCUCAUCCAGAAGACUGUUCCAAGUUCUGUGAGUGUGGCAUGGAGGGCAUUGCUUGGUCAGUCUCCUGCAUGCCCGGACUCCUGUGGAACGACAAGAUUUAUGCCUGCGACUGGGCUGUCAAUGUCCAGUGUGGCGAAAGACCCAGACCUUAGAGUCAGGACACCCUGUGACCAGUAAUGACGUCUCUACUCGAAGAGGAUAUCUACUUAAGACUUAAAAUUUCUUUCAAAAUCUGAAGCGGAGGAUAUAACAAAACAUUUUCUACUUUCCAGCCUCUUCUUUUAUCAAACAAAAAAUCAUACAUAUUAAAAAUAAUACAUUUUACAGUCUAUGAUAAAUUCUAGUGUUCAAUAAAAUUAAUUAGAUCUGAA